AGGAUUUAAAAAAUGUCAACAACAAUCACUGACAUUUAAAUAAGACGUUUGCCGUAGGAUUGGAUAUGAAAAACUAUUUAUUAUUUGACUAUGAUUGAUAAUAACAAAAAAGUAAAUAUGAAAACAGUUCCUUCGAGAACAUGCGAUAAGUUUAAUGAGCAAUGACGCCCGUUCGAUUAAAAAAUUUGAACCUGCACACAAUUAUUAAUUGUCUAGACCAUCAUAAAUUAUAUGACAUCGAUCGUGGUUGGCAUUGUCUACAAAACAUUCAUCUCUCAUACAUGGUUCGAUAAAUAAAAGUGUCAAGCAUUAGAUCAACAUCUAACAUCUUGACGCAAAUACAUCGACGAGUGACCUUCGUGUUAAAUUCAUCUUCCUUAGAACUACCGCAGACCGUACAAGGUUCUUGACGACAUCAUUCGCAAUCCAAAUGCUAAAUAAUUUUAUCUUCUAGACGUAUUCAUAUACCAAUUAAUUACCUAUCGUCAUAAUAUAUUAAAUCAAGCCGAACAUCUCAAUUUGACUUUGAGAAUUUGCGUAAUUAAAGUUGGAGUCAACGGAUGCUUUAAUUUUUUUCCAACUCGAUUACGGUCAUAUUGAAGCAAUGCCAGGCAUGUAUACAUGAUACAUACAUACAUACAUAUAGUGGCGAUAUGACGGAUACCUGCGUGCGUAAUUAUUAUAUACAUGAGUAACGUAAGAUAAAACCACAUAUGUAUUCAAAAUUAUGCAGAGAGUAAAAAUGAAUGAAACUACUUUUAGAAUAUUUUACUUAUAUAUACACUGAGCUAUAUUUUGACUCACAAGUGAUUUUUAUUUGAUUUUUACCUCAGAUGGGUUUUAUGUUUACAAAAAAAUGAAAUCUAAUUACAACAAAACUACAAAAAAAUGGUGGGUAAAUAUGUCUGGAGUAAAUAUACCACAAAACACAAAAGUAACGCAUUAUUUAAUAAUUGGUUAGCUGAGUGAAUAACAAAUGAAGUUGAAUUUGAAGUAAAAUUACAGCGACUUGUGAGAAUGACGAUCGAUAUCUUUCAUUCUAGCGUGACAAUCGAUCCACUUAUAU